AGCAGUAUGGUGUAAUGAUGCACACGGGAUUUUCUUGUGUUUGUCUUUGUGAUUUGAUCAACCCCGAGGUCCUUGUUCGAAUCAAGGUACUGCUC